GGGGGUGUUCCGGAUUCGAUCCUUGGUUGGAGUGCGCCGCUGCCUGCCGAGAGUCGCAAGGCCUCUCGUAAAUCCCCCUUCGAACCAAUAACAGGCAACUACGAAGAAAUGCCCUUGGCCGCCUAAUAGUGCGGCCUCGUUGGUCCGGCGACACCUGCUAGCCGUGACUAACGUCGACAGCAGGUAUAGUGCAUGGUGCCGUCCGCGGAACAUGCGCCGUAUCUUCUUCCGGGGACUGGCCGACGCAUUUGCCCGGAUGCACGCAUAACGUCGGCAAGAUCAAGUGCAACCUACGCAUGGUAGACGCGGUGCAUAAAGGUCAGGGACACGCGGGUUCAACUCCCGCCACCUCCACCA
rnacentral:tmRNA from 1 species